rnacentral:pre_miRNA from 1 species
GAAGGGGAGAGUUGUAAAAUGAAAUCAUCAAGGUAUUGGCGCGCCUCAAUUUAAAGACGUGGUUAAGUGGGCAUGAUUAGCCAUGUAUUUUCAUUGAGCCGCGUCAAUAUCUCCUUAAUUAUUUUGUAACUCUCUCCUCUAUAU